rnacentral:lncRNA from 1 species
GCAAUAAUAGGUAUUCAAAUGGUUUGUUUUAAGGACUAAAUGUGGAGCACAUAGCCUGGAACACAAGCUGUCACACUACCGUGUGACACACACGGCCUGGCUACACGGUCAUGUGUCACUUUUAUUUCAGGUGCAAGUUUCACACAUUUUAAGACACGACUGUGUGUAUCAAGUCAGUGAGUUACACGGUCUCACACACAGUCUGUGACACGGUCGUGUGACCCAAGUCAAUGAGUUACACGGUUUGAGACACCAGCCGGGACACAGCUGUGUGUCCCAUUGUU